rnacentral:rRNA from 1 species
ACGUCAAAUCAUCAUGCCCCUUAUGUCCUGGGCUACACACGUGCUACAAUGGCCGGCACAGCGAGAGGCAAGGCCGCGAGGCGGAGCGAAUCUCAAAAACCGGUCCCAGUUCGGAUCGCGGGCUGCAACCCGCCCGCGUGAAGCCGGAGUUGCUAGUAAUCGCGGAUCAGCACGCCGCGGUGAAUGCGUUCCCGGGUCUU